rnacentral:snoRNA from 1 species
AGCACUUGUGUGGGGGUUUUGGUGANUUGAUGAACAAAGACUUAAAGAUAUGUAUAAAAAUAAUCCUCUUUUGCAACCCAGAACUCAUCAGUAAGUAUGAGUUUUGAUACAUAUCAGAAGGGAGAUG